GUUAAGCGACUAAGCGUACACGGUGGAUGCCCUGGCAGUCAGAGGCGAUGAAGGACGUGCUAAUCUGCGAUAAGCGUCGGUAAGGUGAUAUGAACCGUUAUAACCGGCGAUUUCCGAAUGGGGAAACCCAGUGUGUUUCGACACACUAUCAUUAACUGAAUCCAUAGGUUAAUGAGGCGAACCGGGGGAACUGAAACAUCUAAGUACCCCGAGGAAAAGAAAUCAACCGAGAUUCCCCCAGUAGCGGCGAGCGAACGGGGAGCAGCCCAGAGCCUGAAUCAGUAUGUGUGUUAGUGGAAGCGUCUGGAAAGGCGCGCGAUACAGGGUGACAGCCCCGUACACAAAAAUGCACAUGCUGUGAGCUCGAUGAGUAGGGCGGGACACGUGGUAUCCUGUCUGAAUAUGGGGGGACCAUCCUCCAAGGCUAAAUACUCCUGACUGACCGAUAGUGAACCAGUACCGUGAGGGAAAGGCGAAAAGAACCCCGGCGAGGGGAGUGAAAAAGAACCUGAAACCGUGUACGUACAAGCAGUGGGAGCACGCUUAGGCGUGUGACUGCGUACCUUUUGUAUAAUGGGUCAGCGACUUAUAUUCUGUAGCAAGGUUAACCGAAUAGGGGAGCCGAAGGGAAACCGAGUCUUAACUGGGCGUUAAGUUGCAGGGUAUAGACCCGAAACCCGGUGAUCUAGCCAUGGGCAGGUUGAAGGUUGGGUAACACUAACUGGAGGACCGAACCGACUAAUGUUGAAAAAUUAGCGGAUGACUUGUGGCUGGGGGUGAAAGGCCAAUCAAACCGGGAGAUAGCUGGUUCUCCCCGAAAGCU
rnacentral:rRNA from 1 species